GUCCAGCUGACGAGUCCCAAACGGGACGAAACACGCGUCAAGAUGGAU
rfam:Schistosoma mattheei strain Denwood, Zambia genome assembly, scaffold: SMTD_contig0000713